UACGGGGGGGGCAAGCGUUGCUCGGAAUCACUGGGCGUAAAGCGCACGUAGGCGGAUUGUUAAGUCAGGGGUGAAAUCCUGGAGCUCAACUCCAGAACUGCCUUUGAUACUGGCGAUCUUGAGUCCGGGAGAGGUGAGUGGAACUGCGAGUGUAGAGGUGAAAUUCGUAGAUAUUCGCAAGAACACCAGUGGCGAAGGCGGCUCACUGGUCCGGUACUGACGCUGAGGUGCGAAAGCGUGGGGAGCAAACAGG
rnacentral:rRNA from 1 species